rnacentral:rRNA from 1 species
CCUACGGGGGGCAGCAGUGAGGAAUAUUGGUCAAUGGACGAGAGUCUGAACCAGCCAAGUAGCGUGAAGGAUGACUGCCCUAUGGGUUGUAAACUUCUUUUAUAUGGGAAUAAAACAGGGUAUGCAUACCCUCUUGUAUGUACCAUAUGAAUAAGGAUCGGCUAACUCCGUGCCAGCAGCCGCGGUAAUACGGAGGAUCCGAGCGUUAUCCGGAUUUAUUGGGUUUAAAGGGAGCGUAGGUGGAUUGUUAAGUCAGUUGUGAAAGUUUGCGGCUCAACCGUAAAAGUGCAGUUGAAACUGGCAGGCUUGAGUACAGUAGAGGUGGGCGGAAUUCGUGGUGUAGCGGGGAAAUGCUUAGAUAUCACGAAGAACUCCGAUUGCGAAGGCAGCUCACUGGACUGCAACUGACACUGAUGCUCGAAAGUGUGGGUAUCAAACAGGAUUAGAUACCCUUGUAGUC